UAACAGUAAAAAUAAAAAACAACCCAAAAACAAAAAUACAAAUAUCCUGAUAAGUGAGAAAAAUAACUGGAUUGAAUACACAGGAUUUAACUUAAAGAUUAAAUUUUUCCUUACCUACGACGGUCAUUUAUCAGUAUUGAGACCUUUGUUCUGCUUUUCAAGCAGAUCGAACAUAUCGGCCAAUAAAGACUGGAUAUUUGGCCACCCAACUUUAGCCUGUGAUAAACCCAUUCCGUGGUGUUUUCAUUGGCUGCUGCAAUAUAGAGCCUACCACCAAAUUCCAGGACUAGAGUUCCAUCAUUAAAUAGAGCUCAAAGCGUGGAAAAAAAUCUUUGAGCAAACUGCAAUUUCUGUCUCCAAAGGAGGAAUCCAGGGAUUCGUUGCUCGAAUCCGAAUUCUGAAGAGCCGCUGCCGAUGCAAAGCACUGCAGGACAACGCUUGCAACUCUGGCCGCGGUUAGGUGGAGGAAUCUGAUCAGAGCGAUGGUCUCAUAUAUAAAUUUUCUAUUUAAUUGCGACAUCAUAAACAAAAUUCGAAUUUUAUCUUCAAGUAAUAGUUCAAUCGAUAGCACUUG